rnacentral:rRNA from 1 species
UACGAAGGGGGCUAGCGUUGCUCGGAAUCACUGGGCGUAAAGCGCACGUAGGCGGACUCUUAAGUCAGAGGUGAAAUCCUGGAGCUCAACUCCAGAACUGCCUUUGAUACUGGGAGUCUCGAGUUCGGGAGAGGUGAGUGGAACUGCGAGUGUAGAGGUGAAAUUCGUAGAUAUUCGCAAGAACACCAGUGGCGAAGGCGGCUCACUGGCCCGAUACUGACGCUGAGGUGCGAAAGCGUGGGGAGCAAAC